rnacentral:rRNA from 1 species
UACAGAGACUGCAAGCGUUAUUCGGAUUCACUGGGCGUAAAGGGUGCGCAGGCGGCCGAGUGAGUGAGGCGUGAAAGCCCGGGGCUUAACCCCGGAAUUGCACCUCAAACUACACGGCUAGAGCAUUGGAGAGGGUAGCAGAAUUCAUGGUGUAGCAGUGAAAUGCGUAGAUAUCAUGAGGAAUACCAGAGGCGAAGGCGGCUACCUGGACAAUUGCUGACGCUCAGGCACGAAAGCGUGGGGAGCAAAAGGG